rnacentral:rRNA from 1 species
AUUGAACGCUGGCGGCAGGCCUAACACAUGCAAGUCGAGCGAGCGGCGGACGGGUGAGUAAUGUAUGGGGACUGCCCGAUAGAGGGGGAUAACUACUGGAAACGGUGGCUACUAACGCAUACUAUCGGAUAACCCAUAUGGGAUUAGCUCGUAGGUGGGGUAAGGGCGCACCUAGGCGACGAUCUCUAGCUGGUCUGAGAGGAUGAUCAGCCACACGGGGACUGAGACACGGCCCAGACGCCUACGGAGGCAGCAGUGGGGAAUAUUGCACCAUGGGCGCAAGCCUGAUGCAGCCAGGCCGCGUGUAUGAAGAAGGCCUUAGGGUUGUAGAGGACUUUCAUCGGCGAGGCGUUACCCGCAGAAGAAGCACCGGCUAACUCCGUGCCAGCAGCCGCGGUAAUUG